AUGCUUGUCAGCCCUGCAUGGUCUUCCUCCGCUUACGUUCAAUGUACGCGGCUCCUCCGUUCCCAGCUCCUUCUACUCAGUCCUCGCCGCCUCCCCAUCACUGCGCUUCGCCUCCCCACUCCGCCGGCAGAGCGUGAGAAAGAAGGGCGAGGACAAGAUGACAAUCAAGUCAUCUGUACGGUGCGCUGGCGGGGAGCUGUCUGUCAGCGGUGCUGUCCGUCCGGCCGGACACGGUCUCGGCGGCGUCCACGGCGGCGAGGGGCCCAUGGACGCCGUCUUUCUCAGUGACGAUUUCACCCAGCCGGCCUCCGUCGCGUCGUCCCCCUCGGUGCUAUGAGGUUCGUCCACUCGCCUGCGUGAUGUGACAUCGGAGGAAGAAGAUGUGGUUUUGAUCUGAUUCGAUUUGGACCCCGAUAUCUCCCGACCGUUCGGUCUGGGAGAGCCCCAGACCGAACGAGUCGUUCGUUACGGGGGAGCCGAUCGACCGAACAUAUCUGUUCGGGACGAGAAGAGGCCAGCCCGAACACCAUCACUCUAGGCCCUUUUUUGCGUUGAAUAAAAAAGAAAACAAAGCCCAGUUUACCCCCAAAACUAUUUUGACAAAGAAAGCCCACUUUUGGCUGUGAAUAAUAGAGGUCAGAUUUGCCAUACUCUAAAAAUAUUGAAAUGGUCCAAAAUAAUUUUGUCGUGAAAGAUAGAAAAUAACGAAUAAGAUACUACUAAAUAAUCACUAUGGAUUGAAGCCAAAAAAAUUGCCAUGAUCUUUAUAAGCAAAAUUUUCCAUGGUUUAAAAAAGAUCUUUUUAUGCAAAUGGCAAAAAGAAAACAGUUCAUGGCAAUUUUGCAUCUCUACCAUGAUGGCAAGAAAUGUACAUUAAAAAUUUGUAUGCUAUUUUUACUGUAUAAUUGAAGAGACAAAAAAUAUAGAUUAAAAAUUGCCAUCAUGUGGAGCAGAAAGAAAAAAACGCACAAAUCUUUUGUUUAGUAGUAAUUGCCAUGUUUUAUAAAGUAAACGUACCAUAGUCAAUAGAAGCAAAAAUUACCAUGAACGGUGGAAAAAGGCAAAAUUUGCUGUGGAUGUAAAGUAGUUUUGCCAUGGAAAACUAGAUGUCAAACUUGUCAUGCUCCAUGGGAGUAGACGUGUCAUGAGUGACAAAAAAGUAAAUUUGUCAUGUAUGUCACAUAAAAAAUGUCAUGGCAAUAAAAAGCUAAAUUUUCCAUGUUAAUAAAGUUAAAUUAGAAAUGGAAAAAUAGAAAGUAAAACUUGCCAUGGCAAUAAAAGCUAAAUAUUGCCAUGGGGAUUUAGGUGAAAAAUCCCAUGUUAAUAAGGGUCAAUUUGCCAUCGACAAAUAAAAAAGUAAAACUUGCCAUGGCAAUAAAAGUUAAAUAUUGCCAUGGGGAUUUAGGUAAAAUUGCCAUGUUAAUAAAGGUCAAUUUGCCAUCGACAAAUAAAAAAAUUGCCAUGGAAUAAAAUUUAAAUAUUGCCAUGUGGAUUUAGGUAAAAUUACCAUGUUAAUAAAAAGGUAAAUUAGACAUGGCAAAAUAAAUAGUAAAACUUGCCAUGGCAAUAAAAUGUUAAAAUUGCCAUGGGGGUGUAGGUAAAUUCGCCAUGUUAAUGAAGGUGAAAUAAUUACUAAACCUUGCCAUGGCAAUAUUUGCCAUUUUUUGUUUUUGACAAUUUAAAUAAUUACCGCGACAAUUUAAAUAAUCAAAAGUUGCCAUGGCAAGAAAGCAAUGAAUACCAUGAUCCGAGAACUAAAAUUUCUAUCAUUCGGUAACUAUAUUAGUCAUCUUCCAGGAAGCAAAUUUGCUAUGAUGCGUAAACUAAAUUUGCCAUCAUCAAUUCAACUAGUUCUUUUUUAUGUUUACAUCGCAAGAAGUAUAAGAUUAGUUGCCAUGGUAGAAAAUAGUAAAAAUGCGCCAUGAUCCACCAUCGAAAGUUGCCAUGGCAAGAAAGCAAUGAUUUUUCCAUGAUCCGAGAACUAAAUUUGCCAUGAUUCAAUAACUGUAUCUGCCAUCUUCUAGAAAUUUUUUACACUGAGACAGCAAAUUUAAGAAAAAUUGUAUAGUACAAUACAUGUUUAGUACUGAAUCCUUCUCUCUAAACGAAAAGCAAGAUUUGAUUACUCCAUAUCCCUUUUCAGUUUAAUUAUCUCUGAUGUUGUUCAACGAAGAUGACCAGAAACUCUAAAAAUCCCUUUCAUCACUACAGAAAUUCAGCGCACAUAGCCGAUCAAAUAUAGCUGCAAAUCAUUUAUUUUCUUCUCAAAACUCAUUCCGUCCUGGAAGACUAGUAUGCAUAUCUGUUUUGUUCGGAUCACACAAAAGCAAAUGAUUUUCAGUCAGUAGAAUGGUAACGAAAUACACAGAAAAAGUUGUUCUACGGAAUCAAUAGCUCCCAGAAUCGCUUGUUCUAUUACCGAGCAAAGCAAAAUGGCCUAGUUCACCUAUGCCGGCCGAUUCACUUGGUGAUGUAUGCAGCGCUAGAACAAAAAAAAUCUUAGAAAUGGAAGAAUUCUGGGGCUGGGCAUUACGGAGCAAAGCACUGACUAGGAGAACGGCGCUAAUCUCCAAGCACCCCAGCGGGAGCAGGGCAGCUCGCGUUGGUGACCACGUCGGGGAGCGCAAGUGCCUGGGGUGGUCGUCAUCCCCGCGGCAGUCGUCGAAGUGUAGCCCCACGCCAGGGAGCAGCAGAUGCGUGGACAUGGUCGUCGCCGUCGCGAGCGCCGUCGACGCAGCCCCGUGUCAGGUGGAGCGGCAGAAACCUGGAGGUGGUUGUCGUCGACGCGCAACCUCCCUACCGCGGCUACGGCCUCCCCGGCGGCUAAAUCCGGCAACGAGAAGACGACCCCCGCCACGGUCUCAAGGCCUUGGCGCCGGCCUCCGGUGGAUCCCACAGCCGCCGCUUCAUCUGGAUGCGCGUGGGAAGCCGAAGACCCCGCCAGCCGUCGCCGGGGUGGUGGGGAGGCGCGUCGCCGGGGCAGGUGCCGGGCACGGGAGCUCCAUGGAGGGGAAGUGGUGUGGUGGCUUGCUCGUGAGUGGGUGGGUCGUGGAGACCGGGAGAGGAGAGGAGUAGUGCGGCCGUGGAGAGACAAAACGUUCGCGGCGACCUCCUGCUUUUCCGAACGAUAAGAAAUCAAUGACGUGGCUGGUCAGACCUACUUUAAGAUUCGUGAUUCGAUCCAAUGGUCCAUGGGACGUUCGGCCCCAAAUCCUAAAAUACAGGCGUUCGGGAGUUAUUGAUUCCGUUCGUGAGGUGCGGUUUAUCUGGUUCUAGGUGUCAUGGAUGACACACAGUAUGGGGGACCAAGGCGGCGACGUACCGCACGACACGCAGCUCCUGCUGGUGGAGUCCAAGGCCGGGUUCAGGCCUGCGACGAGGUCGUGUUCCUCACGCUGCGUUCUGGGCCAGCCUCAAGGGCGGCGGCGCUGGCGGCGACGAGCUUCAGCUCUGCAUCUAGAGCGGCGACAUCGACACGCGCGCCAGUUCAGUUCAGUGUUAAUCUCGGUCACCGAUGGUUGAGGUGUUGUGUUGUUUCUCGCUCUAGGUAGGCCCUCGUCGAUCUUGCCUUUAGCAUUGAGAUCUGUGUAUCAGAGGUGUUCUUAUAUGGUGUGCUCCCAUUUGGGGUUGGAGAUGGCAUGAGAUGCAGAGCUCCUUGCGCCACUCUCUUUACAAAGACUAUACAAAAGGAUCAGCAAAGGAGGACUCAAGUUUGCAACCACCACAGAGAUAAGGCUAUGGAACAUUAGUGCGUGGCUGUUCUGUGCAAUUUUUCUCACAUCAAGGUAUGCCUCCGUCUCACUGGGCCAGGGCUCGACUUGCCUACCACAUAUUUGUUUUGUUUGCUGCAGUGUUGUAAGAUUGGAGUGUGUUGAGUAUGCAAUCUUGAUUCCAGGAAAAAAAGAUUAUGCAGUCUAUCGCACAUGUUUGGUUUGGAGGGGGCCUGUAGAUGAUGGUUAUGAUUUUGUUUCCGUUCGGUGAUUUAUUCAAAUGAUUCAGAGUAAAUCCGAAGCCAUUUGUUGCCUCUUGAAUUUCUGGUUCUACCUCAUGCAAAAAAUCUCUCAUGGUUCUACUUCUACCUUAUGUAGAAAAGCAAAUAUUAUAUGUUGAUGAGCUUGUUGCUGUUUGGUACUGACCAUAUUAGUUCCCUAGGCUUGUAAAAAAAAAAAACUUCAUUUCUACCCUAUGAUUACGUGUCAAAGAUGUUUUGUAGAUUGCAAGUUUGAUUUCUUUUUCUUCAACAUGGUUGAUUUAGUUUCUCACCUUGCUGAAAAAUUCAGGUUGGAAUGUUGCCGGUCCAGCCUAUGCAGAUAAUGUAUCUGUUAUAAUGUGAUCAUGACAGAAAGUUAUUUAUUUGUUAUAUACCUGCAGCUCACUUUGUUCACUUCCACAGCACCAUUUCAUUUUUUGACAGUGGGUUAGACAAGUGUGGUUUUCAGGUGUAGUUGCCUAUUAGUUUUUUUUUUAGUUUUCCUGUCUCGGUUUCUUCCAGCCUAUAAGUUAUACUUAGUUUGAUUACUGCAUCUACAGUUUAUUUCUGCUUCUACUUCUAUUUCUACUAUAUUUCUGUAUUUACAUUUGAAUUUCUGUACCUACUUUAUUUGUGCUUCUACUUUUUUCUGCACCUACAGUUUCAGUGCUUUAUCUGCUCGUGGAGCUAUGGCUGUUGCAUUGGGCUAAGAUUUGAUUGCUUGCAGUAUGUCAAGGUGUAGGUGCAGACUCAUUGUUGAUAUUGAAUACUGGAGUAAGAAUGAUGAUCAAUGCUCUAAUGAACUUGCAUGAUGUAGCAUUACUAUUAGGAUAUAGCGUUAGGCACAUACUUUUUUUGACAGUGGGUAGACAAGUAUGCUUUCAGGUGUACUUGCCUAUUGUUUUUUUUGUUUUCCUGUGUCGAUUUCUCUUUUACUGUAAAGCAAAGGCUGACUGUUAGUAUUUGUCGAGUCGAGAGUUUUUUUACUUGGAAGAUCACAACAUUGCCAAUAGAAGAAUGAGUUUUAUAGCAAAUCAGGUUCAGACUUCUAUCUAAUUUCUUGGUUACAUCACCAUGAUGCUUGGAAUAUAAUUAAGACUUUGGGCCCACUGAACAUUAGAAGCUGCAUGGAGGAUGAGAUCAUCUAUGCCAGUGAUGGGAAGCGCACUGUGAUUGUGAGUAUCUGUAUAGAUCACAUUAAUCUACCAUGCUCACUAUCCAGUUACGCCACGCGCAAAUACCAUUGGCAGUGUAUUUCAACUAUGUGUAAUUGGCCGGCUAUAUCACAGCAGUGUACCAGUGUCUUGUGUUGGUGCUUGUCCAAUCAAACAUAGUUAUGUAACUGACAUCAUUUUGUCUUGUCUACCCAUGUCUUUUGUCUAGGCUGUAACACUAGCUGCAUACUACCUAUCUUUUUUAACCUGGCCAUGUAAGACACUUUGUUUUUAUCCAUGUUCAGUGCUGCUAUAUAGAAUCGAUGUUUUAUUUCCUCUUGCAUUCUGAAAGAUUGCCUUGGUUCGUACUGUUUAAGAGUGAUAUAUAAGAUGAGGGUUAUUCAGUAGAAUUUAUAUGCUUGGGAAAGGUUUUGAUAGAAAUCAGUGGAUGGUAACCAUGUCGUAGUGUGAUGUAAAUGCCAUUUGAAUCUUGAUGGUGGUAACCUGCUAUCUUUUCCUCUUUAUUGCUGACAUUUUGGUCUCUCAGAAUAUUUUAAUGUCAUUUGAAUCCAGAUAAUUUUGUUACUCAUGCAUAGAGCAUUUGCAUCUGAAAGGUGGCAUGCGUGAUUGCAACCAAUCUUACAUGUGUUUGUAUUGUUGUUUGAGCAGGAGCUUUUCAUCUAAGGAACUGCAAUGGCCAAAUCUCUUGUGACCGAUGACCCAACGGAGCCUUUUUUUGGGCGUGAACUGGUCACCUUAUGGUUCUAACUGGGAUGCAUGCUUUGUUGCAUGCUUAAAACACUAUUAUUGUAUCUGGCAUCAUAUCCACAUUAGCUUACUCCCUCUUCUGAACAUUGUAUUUUUUCCAUAUGAAAACCGAUUUAAGUUAUUCUA